rnacentral:lncRNA from 1 species
UCCAGGAAUUUUAUAAAUGAUGGGAAAAACUCAGGUCUUGUAUUGCAUCUGUUGCAAAAAAUAUGGACAAGUAGCCCCAUCAAAAGUGCGAGGAAAAAUUUUAUCUUGUCCUUUCAGGCACAAAAAAUCAAAUUAGUAUCAGGUGAUAGUUUGACUGAAAGUGCCUUGGUAUCAAAAACAGGAGAUUAUGAUAAUUCUUUUAUUUUACACCUUUAUAACUUUCAUUUUGAAAUUGGACACAGCUGUAUACACAUCUCAAAAAUACGAGUUGAAAUUUUGAGUUUUUUAAAAAUUUGUUUGGUUUUCCCCCUCUUCCCCAGGAAUAUGAAAACUGGUCAGAAGCACCGGGGUAUAGAUCUGGAUAAAGUAGCAGCGACCUUGUCUGUUAAAGCUAGUGAUUCAUCUGAAUUCAUGCGCAAAACAUUGGAGGGUCUUCACAUUCGCAAGAGAAUACCCUCUAAUUCCCCUGGAAAUCAUGAAUUCAACUCUGUCAAAUUUUCAACCAGUAGGUACUCGUCAGCAAUCCAACCAUCGACUCCACUGAAAAAGCAGCAACAAUAUCUGUGAUUAUAUUAAUAUUUAUCAAUUUAUUACAAAAAAAGAAAAGAAAAAGUUUUAAUUUUGUACCUUUUUUAUCAAAUUAACUCGAGUUUUAUGAAGUAGAGUAAAUUAUUUUCGUUUGUAAUUUUUCAUUUCUGUUGAGUAUUGUACGGUUAUAAUGUGUUAAGCAAGAGUACCGUUUGACAUUCUGAUCAAGAAAAUCUAUCACAAAACUCUAGUUUGAGACAUUAUUACCACAUCCUCCAUUCGGCCCUGGUCGUAUUUUUUGCGACUUCUUCCAUUUCUAAAUUUUAAGACAUCUCUCAGAAUAAAGGUCUCUUGAAUAAUGAAACUAGGAAUCUGUUAAGGAAGACAACAUUGAUAUACUCCAUUGAUGCAAUGAAAAACGAGCCCCAAGUUAGAACCGCUGCAUUGCGCACAUGGUGGCUAUAUCAAAAGUAACAAAUUGUUCUGAAAUUCAUUAUAUCUUCCAUCAUUUACUUUUAGCGCUUAAAAAAGUCUUCAACCGUUUCUGAAAUAUUUACAAAAGAGCUUCACUCUCUGUUUAACCUUCGCAUUGUUUUUUUGGCAGAGCAUAUCGUAAAUAAAACGGGUAACUCACGUAAUUUUGCACACUUUAUUUCUUGUGAUAUUAUCUAUGGUAUAUAAAUUAGGUAUAAAAAACAGGACAAGGUAGAAAAAUUCUGUAAGAAAGUUACAAUCAAUUCGAGGGAAAAAAAGCUCAUAAUGAAAAUACAAAGGGCACUCAUAAUACUAUUAUCACUACUAUGCAGUGGGCACUAAAAUAAUCCAGUGACCAACCCUCAUUGCAAGCGUAAAUUUUAUUUUCACAGAGAUCUCUGCUUGAAAAAGUUCAGUGAUCUCCAAUGUGAUUUGAGCACAGCUAACCGCUCAAAAAAUCUUUUCAGAAUAUUUAAAUGACUGUUCGUAAUACUUAUGUUUUUUCAGGGGACUUGACAGGGGCACAGUACUUGAUGCUUUUUAGCAAAGAGAUUCUAAAAAAAAACUACUAUGUACACAAAUAGAGCCAUUCAGGAACUGCUGGCUCCAUCCUGCAUGUUCUAAAAGAUACAAAAGUUUACUCAGGAAAGCUGCUAGUGAAAUAAAAACAAAAAAGUAUGAAGUCAAAAGACGAUUGAAGUUAGUUAACUUGCAAAAUGUAAUAGAUGCUAAAGUCUCCCCCCCCCCCCCAAUCUGGCUGUUUAAAAUAGAAUUGAAGGAAAAGAUAUUCAGGAAUUUGAAAAUCACCUGCCCAUGAACGUCUCUGAGAUAAUUAUGCUUACUGGAAUCUCAUUUUGUUUUGUUCUGCCCAAUGCUGGCAACAAUUGCCGGUUUAGCUCAUAAAACUAGCUUUUAUUCAGGAAAAUGCGCACUUUGAUUUUGCACUUUUUCAUAGUUUCUCAAGCUAGGUGCAAGCUGGUUGCUGCCACUGGGUAGAUCAAACAGAGGCAAAAUUUUACCGAAAAGAUUUAGACACAUAGAUCUUGAUGGGCUGAAUACUUUCAGAUUUCAGAAUUUUUUUUUUAACUUUCUUUUCUUUUAAGGAAACAUUAUUCUCUGAAGUGUUGACACACUCGCCAACUACUGAAAUAAACACAUUUUUUACAGAAUUUAUGCGAUAAUUACAAAAAAUUACACAAUUUUUUUACAAAAUACAUGAGCUUAUGAGGCCAACACCUUUUCUUCAUUCUGUCGCUCCCUUUAGGCUCACUGCCAUCAUUGAAGAAUUUAAGUGUAAGUAGAGAAAAAAGGAAGUACUCCAUUUUGAAGGGGUAAUGAAUGAUCUUCAUGCUGCCAUUUCUGGGCCAUGAACCUAGGACCUAGCAGAAAUUUUGAAAAUACAACUCUUUACUGUCAAGGCUUUUAAAAUGUGGUGAUACACAGUUCAAUUUAUGCUAUUUCAGGCUCUUAGUAUGUGCGCACCAGAUGACCUUUUUAUAAAGGAUAUAUAAAGAAAUUUCCAGGCAAGUUAGUAAUUUUAGGUACUCUUACUUUUCUUCCUUCUCGUCAAGGAAAGGAAUGAAACAUGAUGGGCUCAUUUCUACCCAAGAGCUAUUCCACAAUGAAGACAACAGAUUCCGUAAAAAGUUACCAUUGUGACUAAUAGAUGUGAACCAGCAUUCACAGCAACUAAGAAUGGAAUACAUACCUAAGGAAAUUUCGAGAAUCCUGACUUAUCUACAUUGCACCCAUGAAAAAUGUAGCUGCUCAGCUACCUAUACAUUUUUUCUUUCUUUUCUUCCUUUUAUAUAUUGGGGCAGGUUUUCAUUGGCAGUUGAAAGAUGGUCAGCACAAGUAAAAAGCAAUGAGCAUAUUAUCAAAAUUGGAAUAAAGCUUCUUAAAUACUGAUCAGAUAAGAUAAAAUAGUAGACGAAUUAGGUACAAUAAUUUCUUAGAAACAUAAUUUACAAUUUAAAUUGUGAGCUUUGCACCCAUUUAUGGAUUCGCAUGACAAGAUUUUGAGUUUUGUCUCCAUCACUGAGGAAAAAUAACUUUUAAUCGAAGUGAUGAUUCUAUUCACAGGCAUUAAAAGAACAAAAAUAUAUUUGAUCUUUGACCAGUUGGUGAGUGAAAAAAUCGUUGGGGGCAUUAGCCUCAACUGUGUACUAUGAAUACAAGCUUAUUCACGAUAUAUGCAUGUGAGAUAUUUCUUGUACCUAUUUUGGCAAGAAUAAUAAGAAUGAAAAAUAAAAUUGCUUAUUUUAUAAAUAAAAUUCUCUCUUUUGAGAGCGCCUGGAUUUUUUAUACAACCUCGUGAUUUAAAAAUUACAUUUAUUUUGUUAAAUUAUAUUUUCUCUUCUAGUUCAUUAUUCAUUGUUUUUAUUUAAUUUAAUUUACUUUGUGACUCCGCCUAGAGGCGAGUUGUUUUUCUCUAGCUGGUCCUAAGCCUAGGAAAAAGAGGAGGGUAGGCAUAGGGCUAGCAACCCUACUACGUAGAAAACACCCAAGCUACAAAAACCAAGACGAAGCUUCGGUACCCAGACAACAUACGUAUAAAUCAACCUAAAAAGAAAGGAUCACGGAAAAAACCAAGGAAAUCGUAUUAGCCACAUGGAAUGUAAGAACCAUGAAGAAAGCAAGAAAAAUUAGGUUAGGUUGAGAAAAGAUGAUAAGGAGAAGAAGAAGAAUAGAACAGAGAACUCCUUGCCAUCUGAUUUCUCGAACAGCCAUGGUGUCAAUGGCACAUUCUGCAUCUCUUUGGCUUCUUCCAUAAUUUUUCCUGCUUUCUUCAUGGUUUUACAUUCCAUGUGGCUAAUACGAUGUCCUUGGGUUUUUCCGUGAUCCGUUCUCUUUGGGUCGAUUUAUACAUAUGUUGUAUGGGUACUAAAGCUUCAUCUUGGUUUUCGUAGCGUUGGGUGUUUUAAAUGGUAGGGUUGCUAGCCCUAUGAACAACUCGCCUCUAGGCGGAGUUUACAAAAUAAAUUAAAUUAACUAAAAACAAUGAAUAAAUAAACUAGAAGAGAAAAGAACAUCACAAGGUUUCAUUUAAGCCACAUACAACUGAAAUCCCCGGGUCUCAAAAAUGGGACCACUAUUUGGAAGGCUUUUUUGGAAUAAAGGUUAUUUUGCACCUAACUCCUUAAUUUCAAGAGAGUGUGCAGUUAAAAGAUGCUGUUACAGAUUUCAGUUGAAAUACAUUGGUGAUGAGCACUGGCAUCAAUCUUCAUCCUAGCCAAAAUGAAGAAUGAGAAAUAAGAUAUAACCUGAGAAAGAUAAAAAAGAGAAUUAUGGGCGAUUGAAAAGAUACAACUUGUGAUCUCGACAAGCUUGCUUACAAAAUGACUAUAAAAUACCGCUAUCUUUCAUUGUUUACUUUUCUUUUUCUUAUUGAUAAUGACCAUGACAAUUACAUUUUACCAAAUUGCGAAAGAUACAGCAAACUUGAAAAUUUUGGUGGGGAAAAAAAAUUGUAAAUGUCAGAGAACAGAAUCAGUCUUAAUUAGGUUAGAGGAAUUUACACAUUUUCUAUAAGUCUUUACUCUACAAGCUGCUAGUGAAUUAUUGGUCUUUGAUUAUGAAAGUUUCAUAUAUAAGCCUACCCAUUUUCAAAUAGUAACUAUGUACAAUAUACUAGGUGAAUUAUCACGAGAUCAACAAGUAAUGUAAAGCUCAGUUUGAUCAUCUCAUAAAAAACAUUUUCGAAGAGCUUUGAUUUUCAUAGCACGAAAUUUUGAGUCCCAAGAGAGAGAGCUUCAUUGAAUAGACAAACAUGUUCGAAUUUAAUUUUUGAACCAGCUAGUCAAAAUGAAAGUAUUCAUCUCCUCUAGAACUAAGAUUGCGUGCUGUUUUUUCCCUGCACAGACUUCGAAUCUUGCAUGAAGAACUAAAAAAAUAAACAUUUGAAUACUUCCAUCAAGAUCAUACAUGGUCUUGUAGUCUCGUGGAUUUUUAAAUACAUUUCUACGAUCAUCAGCUGGAUUGUCAAUGCUACUUCAUAGACUCAAAUUAAGGUUACUUUGAUAAAUAUCAAAUCAUAAAUAUUUUAAGCGUCAAAAAAUAAAAAUCUUACAUACAUUAGCAAAAAAAAAAAAUCACUCAUACUAAAACAUUAGCUCUUCCACACUGAAACAACUUAAUAUCCCAGUGUAGACAACAAUAUGUGGGAAAUAUUAGGUCUUUUGUUGGCACAUUUUGUGUCAAAAUCUAACUAACACUAAAAUGAUAACAGUAAUCCAUUGAGUGAUAUUGAACCAAUAUUUAUCGAGUUUUUUUUUUUUUUUUUUUUUUUUUUUUUGACGUUCAGUCAGUAGGGGUUAAUAUUGAUUCAGUUUGUUCUUUCAAUAUUUUUUCUUUCAGGAUAAUGUAAGUUUUAAAAAACAAAUGUUAUAAUCUUGGUUUUUAAGUUUCAGAAAAC